CAAAGCAGGUUUGAGACCUUUUAUAGGUCUAGAUGGAACAUUUUUAAAAGGCAAAUGCAAAGGGAUGUUGUUAGUUGCUUGUUCUCAAGAUUCUUGCAAGCAUUUUUAUCCACUAGCUUGGGCUGUAGUGGAUAAGGAAACAAAGACAACCUGGCAGUGGUUCAUGGAGAACUUGAAGGCUUCUUUGGACUUGAAAGAUGGUGAAGGGUACACAUUCAUGUCAGAUAUGCAGAAGAUGCUGUGAGGAAUGUAUGUCCACAAUCAUAUCACAGAUAUUGUGCAAAGCAUAUUGAAGCAAAUUGGAGGCAAAAAUGGAAUACUGAUGAGAUGAAAAAGUUAAUGUGGUGGUGUUCUUGGAGCACAUAUGAGGUGGAAUUUAAGGACAUGUUGAAACAGCUAGGUGAAGUUUCUGAGGAUGCCGUCAAGGACUUGCUGAACUAUCCUCCAAUAACUUGGUGUAGAGCUUACUUUGAUACCCAAUGUGAUGAAUCAACUAAAGGAUAGAGCAGAAGAAGUAAACAGUUGGAGAGGUGAAUACAGCCCAUAUGCAAUGGAGUUAUACAAUGAUUAUAGAGAGAUAGCUUCAAAGUGCAAGGAAAAUUUUAAUGGAGAAAGGGGUUUUGAAAUAAGUGAAGGUGAAGACAGGCACACAGUGAUUUUGGGGCAACAAAGGUGCACAUGCAGGCUUUGGGACUUGUUUGGAAUCCCUUGUGCUCAUGCUAUCAGGGAAUU